UACCGAGGUGCACAUGGGAUAAUUGUAAGAAAUUUUGGCCUUACUAUUUUAUAGGAUCAAAAAAGUUGUAAUGUGAUUGAUCUUUGGGUCGUUGUAUCAUCAUCAUGUUGGAGUUUUAACAUAUCCUAGCAUCCUUUCAAAUUACAUUUUGUAUAAUGUUUUGGGUGAUUUAAAUGCUACUAACAUGAAGCAAUAGGAUUUGGCUGCACUUUCGCUCAUAAAGUUGACUGAUAAGUACUGUGUACAAUUGAUUGUAGCAGAGUGCUCCAACCUGCCCCUCCCAUUCUCCUCUCUGUGUGACCUCCCAUUGAUGAUUGUUGUUUAUUUAUCACACAAAAUUGCGAUGCUAUUUUUCCCCACAGGUAUAUGGCUUAGUGUUAGAUUAAAUGCACAUCAUCCUUCCAUUGCUUUCAGAAAAUAAACUUGGGUUUCUUACUGCUUAUG
rnacentral:misc_RNA from 1 species